rnacentral:rRNA from 1 species
UACGGGGGGGGCAAGCGUUGUUCGGAAUUACUGGGCGUAAAGGGCUCGUAGGCGGCCAACUAAGUCAGACGUGAAAUCCCCCGGCUUAACCGGGGAACUGCGUCUGAUACUGGAUGGCUCGAGUUUGGGAGAGGGAUGCGGAAUUCCAGGUGUAGCGGUGAAAUGCGUAGAUAUCUGGAGGAACACCGGUGGCGAAGGCGGCAUCCUGGACCGGCAUUGACGCUGAGGCGCGAAAGCCAGGGGAGCAAACGGG